GAGUCCACGGUUUGGAAGACCAGCCACCUGCCCAAUGAGCCAGAGGGGCCUCUGCUCAUCCUGUUUUGAGAAAGGAUCUGCAGCAGUGAUACAGAGAUGAGGAGAUCGAAGCAUGGAGAAGCUGGCACCCCGCUCCUUCACCGCCCGCCUCUUCACAAAAGCAAAGGAGUUAUUUUUAAGCUGCCAGAGCUAUAGACACCAAGUGGAGACUUGGAUUGACACAUCUUUUACAUGGCCAGGGGCCACUGCGCCCAGCGCGA